rnacentral:rRNA from 1 species
GAUGAACGCUGGCGGCGUGCCUAAUACAUGCAAGUCGAGCGAACAGACGAGGAGCUUGCUCCUCUGACGUUAGCGGCGGACGGGUGAGUAACACGUGGAUAACCUACCUAUAAGACUGGGAUAACUUCGGGAAACCGGAGCUAAUACCGGAUAAUAUAUUGAACCGCAUGGUUCAAUAGUGAAAGACGGUUUUGCUGUCACUUAUAGAUGGAUCCGCGCCGCAUUAGCUAGUUGGUAAGGUAAAGGCUUACCAAGGCAACGAUGCGUAGCCGACCUGAGAGGGGGAUCGGCCACACUGGAACUGAGACGCGGUCCAGACUCCUACGGGAGGCAGCAGUAGGGAAUCUUCCGCAAUGGGCGAAAGCUUGACGGAGCAACGCCGCGUGAGUGAUGAAGGUCUUCGGAUCGUAAAACUCUGUUAUUAGGGAAGAACAAAUGUGUAAGUAACUAUGCACGUCUUGACGGUACCUAAUCAGAAAGCCACGGCUAACUACGUG